UUCCUACGGGAGGCAGCAGUGGGGAAUCUUAGACAAUGGGCGCAAGCCUGAUCUAGCCAUGCCGCGUGAGCGAUGAAGGCCUUAGGGUUGUAAAGCUCUUUCGUGGGGGAAGAUAAUGACUGUACCCCAAGAAGAAGCCCCGGCUAACUCCGUGCCAGCAGCCGCGGUAAUACGGAGGGGGCUAGCGUUGUUCGGAAUUACUGGGCGUAAAGCGCACGUAGGCGGACUGGAAAGUCAGGGGUGAAAUCCCGGGGCUCAACCCCGGAACUGCCUUUGAAACUCCCAGUCUUGAGUUCGAGAGAGGUGAGUGGAAUUCCGAGUGUAGAGGUGAAAUUCGUAGAUAUUCGGAGGAACACCAGUGGCGAAGGCGGCUCACUGGCUCGAUACUGACGCUGAGGUGCGAAAGCGUGGGGAGCAAACAGGAUUAGAUACCCGUGUAGUCU
rnacentral:rRNA from 1 species